AACGCACCUUGCGCUCCUUGGUAUUCCGAGGAGCAUGCCUGUUUGAGUGUCAUUAAAUUCUCAACUUCAUCACUUGUGUUGAAGCUUGGAUGUGGGGGUUGUGCAGAACGCGUAACGGUGGUCUGCUCCCCUUAAAUGAAUUAGCGAGUUCAAACUGAGCUCUGUCUAUUGGUGUGAUAAUUAUCUACGCCGUGGAUUGGACUUAGACUUGCUUCUAAUUGUCCGCAAGGACAAUACUUUGACAAUUUGACCUCAAAUCAGGUAGGACUACCCGCUGAACUUAA
rnacentral:misc_RNA from 1 species